GGCAGAAGGUCGGCCAAAACGCAUAUCUAAGGCACCUCUAUGUGGGACAGGGGGGCACAAACAUGGACACAAUGCUGGGCCGGAGGCAUCUGACGAAGGACAUGCAAGACCUCCUCCUUAUUAUACGAGAAAGCGUAAGGUUCAAAAAAGGUGAAAGGUACAGCUGGGACAUUAGCUGGAGGUAGAUAUUCAUGUACAGUGCUACACUGCUGCUUCCUUCUGCUGUAGUUGGUUACCAACAAUUCAACAGUGUUGUAGUGCAGCAGCGAAAGUGAGUUGUAG